GCGGAGCUUGAAUUCCCGGCUCGGCGUCUCUUCCCUCCACCCUGGCAGAGUGCCCAGCGCCCGAGGGGAGGGCGGCACGAAGCCCGGCCGCGCCCAUGGCCGAACUGCCGCCGCGGGCUGGACUGGCCCCGCCAGCUAAGCCCCGUCCGCCCUCCGGGCCGCGCGCCAGGUAGCUAUAGAGUCCACCGCCUCAAAUGGGGACCCCAGGAACAGCUGUUCCCUGCACUACAUCUACGCCUAGCAGCCCAGCGAGUACCUGAAGGCCUUGCUGGCCGUGGGGGAGAUUUGCCAGGACUAUGACAGGCCCUUACUGGGGAAACUGAAUUCUCACCUCCUGAACCAUUCUAUGAUCGAUGUUGUCCCCGAUGUUUCUCAGCUGCCUGGCCAACUUGUGGAUUAUUUCCUCCUGGUGAUGGUUCUGGCCAAUGCUAUUCUCCUUGGGCUGAGAAGUUUCUACUGUUGUUUCAAGAGUAUCUCACCUCAAGCCAUUUUGGAAUGACACCCUAACAAUUAACUGACACCCCAGCAAGGAUAAUUUGACAAUUACCUGAGAAAAGAUGAAGGCACCAGUGAGGGCUGAGAGUCCACGCAAGAGGGAAGGUGCCCAGAGAGAAGAAAGGGCAACCGAGUGGGGACACCCUCCAAACGAAUAGCAUCUACUUCAAAAUGGCUUUAGGGCCAGCCCUACCUGUGCCAAUCAAAAGCAUAAUGAUUUGCAACUAUUAUUUUACCUGAUUAAUUGUCACCUGGGGAAUACAAAAUCUAGUAUCUGCAGUAGAAAGAUGGAAUACAAGUUGGAUAAGUUUCAGUAAUGGACGUUGGGAGAAAUGAAGGAGCUGUAAGGAUGCCAACAAGCCUUGGGUAUCCCAGUUGGGUAGGCAAAGGGGCAGAGAAGGAAGGACCUAGAGAUAGGAUGCAGCAAAAGCUUGUACCCAAAGCAAGAGGUGUGUUUUCCAUUCCGGAACUCAACAUCAUAAAUAUUUGUAUUUUGUGUAUGUCUGACCAACUAAGUGGCAAAACCCUUGAGCACAUGUAUCUAUUUCAUAACUGGAACCUAGCUCAGUGCCCUACACAGAUAUUGUUGAUUAUGAUUAUAAAGUUGCAUAAGGGGGUGGAGAGAAUGGGACAGAAAAGGGUUGGAGGAAAAAUGUUGGCUACUUUGUAAGUUGAUCUAAGGACAGCCCUACCUUUUCCUUUGUCGUGAAGACAGCUCUCCUUUCAUUUAAAGUUGCAAAAUAGCAAUAAUAAUGCACAUUCACAUAUUUUAAACUCUUGGUAUAGAACCUUAUCAAAAUCCUGGAGACCCUCUCACAAUUGGUGGUGGAAGUGUAAAUUGGUACAACCUCUGUGGGGGGCAAUGUAUCUAUCAAAUUUUACAAAUGCAAAUGUGCUUGAGGUUAUCUAUUGCAGCAUUGGUUUCAAUAUUAAGUGUUUGGAAACAACCCAAAUGUAUAUCAGUAGGAAACUACUUAAAUAAAUGAUGGUGUAUCCACACUAUGGAAUAUUAUGCCACUAUAAAUAAGAAUUAGGAAGCUCUGUAAGUAUUAAUGCAGAGAGAGCUCCAGAUCAUAGUGUUAAGUGAGAAAACAAGUAAAAACAGUGUGUUUAAUGUGCUACCUUUGUCUAAAAAGGGAGGGGUAUAUAAAUUUAUAUUCACAAUUGUUCAUAUUUGCAAAAAGAACCUCUGGAAGAAUACCCAAGAAUCUAAAACAGUGGCUACCUAUGAUAGGAAUUGAGCAGAUGGGGGACAAGAAUGCAGGAGAGACUUUUCACUAUAUGCCUUUUCUUAUUCUUUAGUUUCCCAACCUUGAAAGUGUAUUUUUUUUUUUAAGAAAACACUUAUAUAGCACUUAUAAUGUGUCAGCCACUGUUGCAAGCCAUUUAAAAUAAGUAAUGCAUUACUAUUAUUAUUAACAUAAAUACUUAUUCACAUUUUAAUUUUAAAACUAUCCCAGAAUUGUCAUCAUUGUACUGAGAUUAUGCAGAAAAAUAUCUUUGUUCGUAGGAGACAAUAUGUGGAAUUCCUUGGAGAUCAAGUUAGUUAUGUCUGAAACUUUAUCUCAAAUGGUUUAGCAAAGCAAAACAUCUGUGUAUGCAUUCAUGAGUAUGUGCCUUUGUGUGUGUGUAUGUGUGUGGAGAGACAGAGAGACAGAAAGCAAAUGUGGCCAAAAAAAUGGUAAAUCCAUGUGAAGAGUAUAUGCAUAACCAUAGACUUAUCUGUGCAACUUUUGUGUAGAUUUUAAAUUUUCCAAGGUCAACAUUGGAGGGGAAAAGUAUCUUAGAAAAGUCCUUAAAACUUAAAUAAAACAUUUCCAUUUAGCUUCUA